UUCUGGUACAGCCCUGGACUAUUUGCAUGUGGGGUUUUACAGACCAGCAUUCACAGUGCUUGCAGCUCACGGCCACAUUCACGUUCAGAAUGGCAAUCUGCUUGCUCUUGGCAGCGGAAUCCUCAGGCACUUUGCAUUUAAGCGUUCACUGUGCGUGGCUAGUUAGAAGAAUAUAGAGCUAUCACUAGUGGCUCAGGAAACUUCGGGAUGUUUGCAGUGCUGGUAAACGCUGAAACCGGAGCCCUCCAGGACUGCAUUGACAGUAGAAUCGCCUGCUCGUGUUAGAGCACCAUGCUUCCUGCUCGGUCUUUCCUUCCAGACAGCCUGCAUUUUAUUUUCACUUUCAGACAACCAAAACAAAGAAAAUAAUGAAAUUUCGAACAAUUUGGAGAUAUUUCCACUUAGAACUCCUGCCCUGACAAUCUGGAAGUGAAUCCAGUGUCGGUGCACUUCUUCAUAACAUCCAUAAUCACAACGCUGCUGUCUGGGACUCACAUUUCACUCCUGGAAUGUUUCAGAGAAGCCACGGAAACCAUAAUCAUCAGAUGAAAAAUUUUUUCACACAGAUCUACAGACCUAUGUUUCCCAAAUAUGUCAUGGAAUAUUGACUUCUCGGCAUACACAAAACUUGCCAGAACCAAGUCAGAUCAUAGCUGUGCACUAAUAUUCUGAGACAAAAAAAAUUCUAGUUCCAGAAGAUGGUGUUGUUGAUGACGGACUGAGUGGGGCCAGGAGACACACACGCAGGACUGCCUCGGGCUUCGAGGAGGAAACAUAGCCCACUUGGCGCCUUGUUGUCCUGGGCAGAUGGGGCACUAUUAUGAGAACAGGGAGAAGCCCAACCAGAAGUACAGUGAGACUACACUCCAGGCAUCUGGUCAAAACUGAGCACAAGUGGGAGGCAACCAUGAACAUUCCUUGUCAAACCCAAGAACUUCAUUUGACUCCAUGUGAUUGCAGGAGCCACUCAUCUGUGACCUCGGUUCCAGUAUUUCUUAUUUCACUGGGACAAUAUUAUUCAAAGAUCUGUUUUGGUGGGGUCUUGCUUGUUCUUUGUAUCUUACAAUGAAAUAAAAUUUGU